GGGCCAGUGGUGAAGUAGGUAUCACGCCGUCUUCGCAAGGCGGAGCGUCCAUGGGGUUCGCCCUUGGAUGAUCGUAACCCCCGAGUUCGAGUCUCGGCUGGUCCA
rnacentral:tRNA from 1 species